rnacentral:lncRNA from 1 species
GGGAGGGGUGAAUUAGGCAACUUAAAAGCUAAACCUAUGGCUUCCACUAGUUGCAUCAAAACAUAAACUAGAUCAUGCUAUCUAGAUGUAUAAUCUACGUUUGAUCUAGUGUGAAACUCUCAUCCCAAAAUAAGUUUUGCAACCUAUAGCCAAUCCUAUCAAGAUACUACUCUAGGAAAGUAAAGGCAUACAAGUCGCAAGUAUGAAAUACGGAAACGUAAGAAGGGGAUGAGGAG